UACGAAGGGGGCUAGCGUUGCUCGGAAUCACUGGGCGUAAAGGGCGCGUAGGCGGCCGAUUAAGUCGGGGGUGAAAGCCUGUGGCUCAACCACAGAAUUGCCUUCGAUACUGGUUGGCUUGAGACCGGAAGAGGACAGCGGAACUGCGAGUGUAGAGGUGAAAUUCGUAGAUAUUCGCAAGAACACCAGUGGCGAAGGCGGCUGUCUGGUCCGGUUCUGACGCUGAGGCGCGAAAGCGUGGGGAGCAAACAGGAUUAGAUACCAUGGUAGUCCACGCCGUAAACGAUGAAUGCCAGCCGUUGGCCUGCUUGCAGGUCAGUGGCGCCGCUAACGCAUUAAGCAUUCCGCCUGGGGAGUACGUCGCAAGAUUAAA
rnacentral:rRNA from 1 species